rnacentral:lncRNA from 1 species
CUCCUUUUGCCUUCCAUCUUUCCCAGCAUCAGGGUCUUCUCCAAUGAGUUGACUUCUCAUUAUGUGCCCAAAGCAUUUAAGUUUCAGCUUCACAAUUUGGCCUUCCAAUCUCAAUUUAUUUAUCUAUAAACAUAAGGAGUAUCAGGAAGUAUCAGGAUCUCCAAAAUUCUUUAGGAACAACUUUUAAGAACUGAUUUUUUAAAUGUUCAGGAUGAGCAACUUGCCUUUUAGCAUGAGGAAAUGAAAAAGAUGCAAUAAGCAAGAUGCAAGAUUAUGAUUUGGUACUGUUGUUCAGGUGGCACUGCUUUCCUUCUCCAACUAUGGCUCCAUGUCUCACCAGUGAAGGACCCCAGAGAUUUCAAAAAAUAUUUUUUAUUAAGAAGAUGAGAGGCAAAGAAAGAAGGAGGGGAGAAAAUCAUGAUCCCAGGAAACACUAUGAAUAUUAAAGGAAGAAAAAAGAAACAAGCAAUUGUUCAUCUCCUGUUGCCAAUGACAAAAACAUAUAUUUUUGGAUUCCCAUAUGAUCCAGUUUUUCCAGAUGACCAAUUAGAACUUGAUUCCCAACUAUUUGUAGUUUAAGAUGAUAAAUUUAAGAGCUAAAAGUGGCUUUGAAAUUAUCUGGACUAACCUCAUUUUAUAGAUGAGGCAAUUGGAUCCCAGCGGUAUUGGACAUGGGAAAUCCUGUUUUUACAAAUCUGAAUUGAAAUUAAGAGAACUGAAAUCAUUGUCUCUCCAAGUCUCAAGGUAUUCCCUACAGGCACCCAGCUUGCUUACAAUGUGUUUAAGUACAAAAUGUAUGGUGAUUCCCUGAUGCCUCCCUUUCCCUUUCAUUUUGUUCAGUAGUCAAGACAGUAUUUAGCUC